GAUGAACGCUGGCGGCGUGCCUAAUACAUGCCAGUCGAGCGAACAGACGAGGAGCUUGCUCCUCUGACGUUAGCGGCGGACGGGUGAGUAACACGUGGAUAACCUACCUAUAAGACUGGGAUAACUUCGGGAAACCGGAGCUAAUACCGGAUAAUAUAUUGAACCGCAUGGUUCAAUAGUGAAAGACGGUUUUGCUGUCACUUAUAGAUGGAUCCGCGCCGCAUUAGCUAGUUGGUAAGGUAACGGCUUACCAAGGCAACGAUGCGUAGCCGACCUGAGAGGGUGAUCGGCCACACUGGAACUGAGACACGGUCCAGACUCCUAAGGGAGGCAGCAGUAGGGAAUCUUCCGCAAUGGGCGAAAGCCUGACGGAGCAACGCCGCGUGAGUGAUGAAGGUCUUCGGAUCGUAAAACUCUGUUAUUAGGGAAGAACAAAUGUGUAAGUAACUAUGCACGUCUUGACGGUACCUAAUCAGAAAGCCACGGCUAACUACGUG
rnacentral:rRNA from 1 species